rnacentral:rRNA from 1 species
UCGAACGGCAGCACGGGAGCAAUCCUGGUGGCGAGUGGCGAACGGGUGAGUAAUACAUCGGAACGUGUCCUGUAGUGGGGGAUAGCCCGGCGAAAGCCGGAUUAAUACCGCAUACGCUCUACGGAGGAAAGGGGGGGAUCUUAGGACCUCCCGCUACAGGGGCGGCCGAUGGCAGAUUAGCUAGUUGGUGGGGUAAAGGCCUACCAAGGCGACGAUCUGUAGCUGGUCUGAGAGGACGACCAGCCACACUGGGACUGAGACACGGCCCAGACUCCUACGGGAGGCAGCAGUGGGGAAUUUUGGACAAUGGGCGAAAGCCUGAUCCAGCAAUGCCGCGUGUGUGAAGAAGGCCUUCGGGUUGUAAAGCACUUUUGUCCGGAAAGAAAACUUCUGCCCUAAUACGGCGGGAGGAUGACGGUACCGGAAGAAUAAGCACCGGCUAACUACGUGCCAGCAGCCGCGGUAAUACGUAGGGUGCAAGCGUUAAUCGGAAUUACUGGGCGUAAAGCGUGCGCAGGCGGUCCGCUAAGACAGAUGUGAAAUCCCCGGGCUUAACCUGGGAACUGCAUUUGUGACUGGCGGGCUAGAGUAUGGCAGAGGGGGGUAGAAUUCCACGUGUAGCAGUGAAAUGCGUAGAGAUGUGGAGGAAUACCGAUGGCGAAGGCAGCCCCCUGGGCCAAUACUGACGCUCAUGCACGAAAGCGUGGGGAGCAAACAGGAUUAGAUACC